rnacentral:lncRNA from 1 species
UGUUGUUUAUCCAAAUUGAAGGUCCUUAUCGGUCGGCUGAUUCUACUGUUCCAGUGUUGUUUAUCCAAACUUAAGAUGUUACUGGUUGCCUCCAUAGUGUUGUUUAUCCAGAUUGAAGAUGUGUUGGCGGAAAAAAGAAAAUAAAAAUCUCAAGGUAUUUGAGAGGUUUGCACAGGGUAGUUGUGUGUUGAAUCAGAUGGCUUUUAAUUGCUUCUAUCUCUUUUAUCAGUAACUUGAUUCUUCACUCCAAUUUUUUAGGUUCUACCAAUCUUAACCCUAACCCCUUAUAGACUCUAAACUAAGCUCUUUAAUCACUUAGAUUCAUCCCUUGAUUUUCAGCAUCUUUUCUUACUCAAAGCAUCUUUAAUUUUUUAGAAUCCUUAUUGUACUGGGAUUUGAUCACCUAACCCAUUCAAAUAAAACCAUCUCUUGAUAGGAUUCAGCCAAACUCCACUGGGCUCGGCCCAUAACAGAAUAUUUUUAGUAUCCAUUUUUGAACCGAGAAUAACUCUAGGCUUAGCCUAAAGCGUUAUUUUGGGCCUAAACGUUACCCCCUUGCUUCUGAGGUCUUCAGCCUACAUUGACUGGCUGAACUUUGGCCUUGAAGAAGCGAUCCAUUGUUAACUGAGAAAUAAACCCUCGGCCUACACUGUGUGGUCGAUCAAAAGAUCCUUGCAAAAAAUGAAUAUUCUCUAUCCACUCAAAUGCAUUAUUACGCACGAUCUUGCACUGUAUGCCAAUCCUUGAGAAUUGUAAAUGUUUGACACACGGUGUCUUCUCAUUGCGACUGUCUGGAUUCAAUAACACACGUGCCUCACGUCCGAGGUGCAUAGGCGUCGAAAGAUCUCUUCAUAAUGAUUGUGCCUUAAAGUUUACCGUCACACGCAAUUGUGCAACCUCAAUUUGCAUGCUUUUUGGCCUUUUUGCCUGGAUUUUUAAAUUUAUGUAAUGAUUGCAAAAUAUUUCUGCCGCAUUUACCCUUUAACUUUCAAAUUUGAAACCAUCGAUUUUCUUCUCCAGUUGCCUAUAAAUAUCACUUCCAGCCUCAUUCCAACUUUACAUUU